CAGGCCUACACAUGCAAGUCGAACGAAGAGGCCCCUUCGGGGGUACUUCAGUGGCGCCGGGUGAGGAACGCGUGGGAACCUACCUUUCGGUACGGAAUAACUACGGAAACUGUAGCUAAUACCGUAUACGUCCUAUGGGGGAAAGAUUCAUCGCCAUGGAUGGUCCCGCGCCCGAUUAGCUUGUUGGUGAGGUAACGGCUCACCAGGCGACGAUCGGUAGCUGGUCUGAGAGGAUGAUCAGCCACACUGGAACGAGACACGGUCCAGACUCCUGCGGGAGGCAGCAGUGGGGAAUAUUGGACAUGGGCGCAAGCCUGAUCCAGCCAUGCCGCGUGAGCGAAGAAGGCUCUAGGUUGUAAAGCUCUUUCAGCAGGGAAGAUGAUGACGGUACCUGCAGAAGAGCCCCGGCUAACUCCGUGCCAGUAGCCGCGGUAAU
rnacentral:rRNA from 1 species